AGACCCGAAACCCGGUGAUCUAGCCAUGGGCAGGUUGAAGGUUGGGUAACACUAACUGGAGGACCGAACCGACUAAUGUUGAAAAAUUAGCGGAUGACCUGUGGCUGGGGGUGAAAGGCCAAUCAAACCGGGAGAUAGCUGGUUCUCCCCGAAAGCUAUUUAGGUAGCGCCUCGUGAAUUCAUCUCCGGGGGUAGAGCACUGUUUCGGCUAGGGGGCCAUCCCGGCUUACCAACCCGAUGCAAACUGCGAAUACCGGAGAAUGUUAUCACGGGAGACACACGGCGGGUGCUAACGUCCGUCGUGAAGAGGGAAACAACCCAGACCGCCAGCUAAGGUCCCAAAGUCAUGGUUAAGUGGGAAACGAUGUGGGAAGGCCCAGACAGCCAGGAUGUUGGCUUAGAAGCAGCCAUCAUUUAAAGAAAGCGUAAUAGCUCACUGGUCGAGUCGGCCUGCGCGGAAGAUGUAACGGGGCUAAACCAUGCACCGAAGCUGCGGCAGCGACACUGUGUGUUGUUGGGUAGGGGAGCGUUCUGUAAGCCUGUGAAGGUGGCCUGUGAGGGUUGCUGGAGGUAUCAGAAGUGCGAAUGCUGACAUAAGUAACGAUAAAGCGGGUGAAAAGCCCGCUCGCCGGAAGACCAAGGGUUCCUGUCCAACGUUAAUCGGGGCAGGGUGAGUCGACCCCUAAGGCGAGGCCGAAAGGCGUAGUCGAUGGGAAACGGGUUAAUAUUCCCGUACUUGGUGUUACUGCGAAGGGGGGACGGAGAAGGCUAUGUUGGCCGGGCGACGGUUGUCCCGGUU
rnacentral:rRNA from 1 species